rnacentral:rRNA from 1 species
UACAGAGGUCCCAAGCGUUGUUCGGAUUCAUUGGGCGUAAAGGGUGCGUAGGUGGCAUGGUUAGUCGGGUGUGAAAUCCCGGGGCUCAACCCCGGAACUGCACUCGAUGCUGCCGUGCUGGAGUACUGGAGAGGAGACUGGAAUUUACGGUGUAGCAGUGAAAUGCGUAGAUAUCGUAAGGAAGACCGGUGGCGAAAGCUAGUCUCUGGACAGUCACUGACACUGAGGCACGAAGGCUAGGGGAGCAAACGGG